rnacentral:rRNA from 1 species
GGUGUCCUACGGGGCGCAGCAGUAGGGAAUCUUCCACAAUGGGCGCAAGCCUGAUGGAGCAACACCGCGUGAGUGAAGAAGGGUUUCGGCUCGUAAAGCUCUGUUGUUAGAGAAGAACGUGCGUGAGAGUAACUGUUCGCGCAGUGACGGUAUCCAACCAGAAAGUCACGGCUAACUACGUGCCAGCAGCCGCGGUAAUACGUAGGUGGCAAGCGUUAUCCGGGUUUAUUGGGCGUAAA